rnacentral:rRNA from 1 species
UACGGAGGGUGCGAGCGUUGUCCGGAAUCACUGGGCGUAAAGGGCGCGUAGGCGGCGCGAGCAGUCGGUCGUGAAAGUCCGGAGCUCAACUCCGGAUCGGCGGUCGAUACUCUCGUGCUUGAGCACUGUAGAGGCAGGUGGAAUUCCGGGUGUAGCGGUGGAAUGCGUAGAGAUCCGGAGGAACCCCAGAGGCGAAGGCGGCGUCCUGGCUCGCAUCUGACGCUCAGACACGACAGCAUGGGGAGCGAACGGG